GUUGUUUUUCUCCGUGUCCCUAACCACCCUUUCACCCCAUCGUUCACCAGACAGCAUACCUUCGGGUUGAAUCAUCGUCUGGGUCGCCCGGCCUGUUACACGGAGCCCCUCUUUCUCCUGCAGACGCCCAGGAGCCACCUCCAAAAGGAGCUGUUUGUGGGGGCCCCGCGGCCGGGCCCACAGCUGAGCCAAGUGCCACUCGGCGGCCACAGGUCAUCCCUCCGACAGGUGUUUGCCGGGCACUGUGGUCGGAGGAGCCUGCUUUCCUGGCAACAGGCGCAUCGGAGUGAGAUGAAGAUGCCCUUGGUGAAGGCGUGACAGAGGGGCGGUGGCCUGAGAAGGUGGCAGCGGCACCAGAACCCAGGGCCUGCCCUGAGCCUGCGCCUGCGCCUGAGCUCCGGGAGGGAGGGAGGGGGCGGCCCUGAGGCGCCUGGACGCGGCCUUCAGCUCCCAGUGGUGAGGACAAGAGUGGAACAAAACCACCAAGAAAAGGAGUUUCCACCCCGACAACUUGGCCACUGAGGAGGCUGCGAGCGUCCAGAAAUAGAGGAAAUGGCCUCCU